rnacentral:rRNA from 1 species
AUGGAUUACAAGGUGGUAGCCAUGUUGAUAUGCUUUUUAUGUGCAUCCAACGAUCUCAGUACAGUAGAUGCAUUUGGGCGCAUGCAAACCAAUGAGACGUUUUUAGCAUCGCCAAGAUCAGCCCCAUUUGUGUUACCCAGGAGGAAUAAAAGUCAAUACAAAAGCAAAAAUGAUUACCAUCAUUUUAUUUUUCAUUACUGGAUAGCUGGCUGGAGAACCACACUGAGUAGCCACGGCGCACGAGUUAAAAUAGGUAUAUGGGGUUCACAAGGACAAUGUCAGUCCCAAGAAUCUGGGGCAUCGAUGUAUCUCUACAAUAGUGAUCAAGAUGACUCCUCCAUCAAUUUGAUCCAAGAUGGAUUUCAUGUACUUCCCGACUUAUAUAAGAAUAAUGAUGUCCAUUUCUUUAUACGAUGGAUGAAAGACUACUACAAAUCAACGGGCUGUUAUAAUUUGGAGUGCCCUGGUUUUGUGCCUGCUAGUGGAGCCGCACUUGUUCCGGGCCAAGCUGUUGCUCCUCCCUCAACUUAUGACAGGGACGACCGCUACAUAACUAUUAGCCUGCAUGCAGAUCCAAACACGGGAGAUUGGGUGUUGUAUCGAGACGACUUGCAUAAACCUUCAUUUUUGGGGCAUUUUCCAAAAGAGCUUUGUCCUAAACUAUAUGGUAUAGCCCCCGGAGUAGGAUGGAUUGGAUUCGUAUAUUACCAAGAUAGGGAUCAAGGUGGUCCCGCAAUGGGUAGCGGUCAUUUUCCAGAAGAGGGCCAAAGGAAAGCAGCAUACUUCAAGAAUAUCAAGCUCUUUGAUUCCAAAGCUAAUGUGUAUGAUCCGAGUGCCUUGGCUAGACUUGUCAGUGCGCCAAGAUGUUACAAAGUCAGUGAGGUUCUGCAUGCUAGAAAGGACGGCUAUAUGUUUUAUUAUGGAGGUCCAGCUAGUUGUAUGGGUUGA